AUAGGGGAGCCGAAGGGAAACCGAGUCUUAACUGGGCGUUAAGUUGCAGGGUAUAGACCCGAAACCCGGUGAUCUAGCCAUGGGCAGGUUGAAGGUUGGGUAACACUAACUGGAGGACCGAACCGACUAAUGUUGAAAAAUUAGCGGAUGACUUGUGGCUGGGGGUGAAAGGCCAAUCAAACCGGGAGAUAGCUGGUUCUCCCCGAAAGCUAUUUAGGUAGCGCCUCGUGAACUCAUCUUCGGGGGUAGAGCACUGUUUCGGCUAGGGGGUCAUCCCGACUUACCAACCCGAUGCAAACUGCGAAUACCGAAGAAUGUUAUCACGGGAGACACACGGCGGGUGCUAACGUCCGUCGUGAAGAGGGAAACAACCCAGACCGCCAGCUAAGGUCCCAAAGUCAUGGUUAAGUGGGAAACGAUGUGGGAAGGCACAGACAGCCAGGAUGUUGGCUUAGAAGCAGCCAUCAUUUAAAGAAAGCGUAAUAGCUCACUGGUCGAGUCGGCCUGCGCGGAAGAUGUAACGGGGCUAAACCAUGCACCGAAGCUGCGGCAGCGACACUAUGUGUUGUUGGGUAGGGGAGCGUUCUGUAAGCCGUUGAAGGUGUGUCGUGAGGCAUGCUGGAGGUAUCAGAAGUGCGAAUGCUGACAUAAGUAACGAUAAUGCGGGUGAAAAACCCGCACGCCGGAAGACCAAGGGUUCCUGUCCAACGUUAAUCGGGGCAGGGUGAGUCGACCCCUAAGGCGAGGCCGAAAGGCGUAGUCGAUGGGAAACAGGUUAAUAUUCCUGUACUUGGUGUUACUGCGAAGGGGGGACGGAGAAGGCUAUGUUAGCCGGGCGACGGUUGUCCCGGUUUAAGCAUGUAGGCGG
rnacentral:rRNA from 2 species